rnacentral:rRNA from 1 species
CCCCAUGUUGAACAUACCUAAACGUUGCCUCGGCGGGUCGUACCUACCCUGUAGUGCACUUACCUGUAAGUGCCUACCCGGUAGGCACGGGUAAGCCCGCCGGCGCCCCACGCAACUCUGUUUAAUUACUGGAUAUCUGAAUUAUAACUAAAUAAGUUAAAACUUUCAACAACGGAUCUCUUGGUUCUGGCAUCGAUGAAGAACGCAGCGAAAUGCGAUAAGUAAUGUGAAUUGCAGAAUUCAGUGAAUCAUCGAAUCUUUGAACGCACAUUGCGCCCAUUAGUAUUCUAGUGGGCAUGCCUGUUCGAGCGUCAUUUCAACCCUUAAGCCUUCUGUUGCUUAGCGUUGGGGGCCUACCGUAUGGCGGUAGCCCUUUAAAAUUAGUGGCGGAGUCGGUUCACACUCUAGACGUAGUAAAUAUUAUCUCGCCUAUUAGUUGGACCGGUCCCCUGCCGUAAAACCCCUUAAUUUUUUCAAGGUUGACCUCGGAUCAGGUAGGAAUACCCGCUGAACUUAAGCAUAUCAAUAAGCGGGAGGAA